AUACGGAGGGUGCAAACGUUGCUCGGAAUCAUUGGGCGUAAAGCGCGCGUAGGCGGCCUGAUAAGUUGGAUGUGAAAGCCCUCGGCUUAACCGGGGAAGUGCAUACAAAACUGUCAGGCUUGAGUAUGAGAGAGGAUUGCGGAAUUCCCGGUGUAGAGGUGAAAUUCGUAGAUAUCGGGAGGAACACCAGCGGCGAAGGCGGCAAUCUGGACCAAUACUGACGCUGAGGUGCGAAAGCGUGGGGAGCAAACAGGAUUAGAAACCCUAGUAGUCC
rnacentral:rRNA from 1 species